rnacentral:rRNA from 1 species
GUUAAAAAGCUCGUAGUUGGAUUUCUGCGGGGGCGGGGCGGCCGACCACAACUCGUGGUUCGAGCUAGCACUUCCCCUGCAUCCUGCCGCGAACCGUGCUACCAUUAGUUUGGUGGCGCUGGGGAUCGGCUCGUUUACUUUGAGAAAAAUAGAGUGUUCAAAGCAGGCCACACGCCUUGAAUAAGUUAGCAUGGAAUAAUGAUAAAGGACUUCGGUUCUAUUUUGUUGGUGUUCGGGACUGAAGUAAUGAUUGAUAGGGACAGUUGGGGCGGUCCGUAUUCCAAAGCGAGAGGUGAAAUUCUUAGACCUUCGGAAGACGAACAGCUGCGAAAGCGUUCCGCAAGGAUGUUCCCUUUGAUCAAGAACGAAAGUUGGGGGAUCGAAGACGAAUCAGAUACCGUCGUAGUCUCAACUAUAAACUAUACCAGCUAGGGAUCGGCCAACGGUUUACUUACCCCGACUUGGUCGGCACCUUAUGAGAAAUCAAAGCAUCUGGGGUUCCGGGGGGA